GGAAUGCUGCUAGAAACAGAUGUGUCGGUAGAUACUCUUGCGAGAACAUCUUUGCUUUCUUAUUAGGAACUUUUGCAUAAUCUAUAAUAUCGAUAUUAAAAAGCUCAAGAAAUCAAAAUAUAUAGAGAAAUAAAGGAAAGACAAAGAAAACGAGCAUUCGUAUAUAAGCUAUUCGAUAAUUCAAAGUUGCUACUAUUCGGAAAGAGACGAAGAACAACCCAAUCAUCGCACUCAAGGAAGACUACAAAUUUCUUUUCGUUUUCCUUUCGAAAGAUUAAACUUUCACUUUUUCUUUUUUUCCACGGAAAAACUUUCUACCUUUUCCCAAUUUUAUUUUGCUCGCAUACCUUUCCUUUACAAAUAUGAAACACCUUCCAGUGGCACUGAUUGCAACCACCCUGAUUUCUCUCCUUAUUUUCACGAAUUUCGUUGAUCCCGUGCUCUCUCAGACUGAUGAAUCUCCCACCACGGAAUCCUCAAAUGAUACGAAACCGGAAGGAUCGGUUUUCCAAAUCAUACAGGAAAACGAUGUCCGUCUGGUCAACGACAGGACUCGAAUGGUAUUUGCAGGACCGUCGUUCCGAUCUAAUUAUUGUUAUUCCUUUCUUUUUUAUUUCUUUUUCUCUUAACAUUUUUACCAAGAAAGGAUAAAUAAUGUCUUUGAAUAAUUCCACUUUCUUCAUUUAUAACAAAUAUAUACGCUUUUCUGAAUAAACAAAAUUUAUUUGAA